UACGGGGGGGGCAAGCGUUGUCCGGAUUUAUUGGGUUUAAAGGGUGCGUAGGCGGCUUUGUAAGUCAGUGGUGAAAUAUGGCAGCUCAACUGUCAAGGUGCCAUUGAUACUGCGGAGCUUGAGUACAGAUGAGGUAGGCGGAAUUGACGGUGUAGCGGUGAAAUGCUUAGAUAUCGUCAAGAACACCUGUAGCGAAGGCAGCUUACUAGGCUGUAACUGACGCUGAGGCACGAAAGUGUGGGGAUCAAACAGG
rnacentral:rRNA from 1 species